GUAGUUGCCACCAACAUCCAAAAGCAACUAACCAGAGAGUGAUCCUGUGUCUUGUCCACAACAAUCCUUUGUGGUGUUUGUUGGUCUGGACUGAGUGAAAUCUGCAUAUGGUUUGAUUUGGCAACCAGACUGACCUUAAUACAUCACUUUUGGGUCAAGUUUCAUGCAGACGAUCUCUCUUUGUUAAACUAAAUUCCAUACUGUACCUGCUGUAACAAGCAAGCAAAGCAAUACUUCUACACUUUCACAAGUAAAGCAAGAUGCCAGGAGAGAGACUGUAAUUUGACCAACAUAAUAGAUCAUGACACCAUCUUGUAUCUCCAUCUCUCAACAUCAUGCUGAAAAACACAACCUUCGACAAUCCUGACGUUUGGGUCAAGUGACAAAACUGAUAAUCUCUCCUUGAAUAACAUGAAAAUGUUCAAUUAAUUCGAAAGAAAGCUCAAUAAAUGAUAAACUGCAAA
rnacentral:lncRNA from 1 species